rnacentral:rRNA from 1 species
CACGAAGGGGGCUAGCGUUGCUCGGAAUCACUGGGCGUAAAGCGCACGUAGGCGGCUUUUUAAGUCAGGGGUGAAAUCCUGGAGCUCAACUCCAGAACUGCCUUUGAUACUGAGAAGCUUGAGUCCGGGAGAGGUGAGUGGAACUGCGAGUGUAGAGGUGAAAUUCGUAGAUAUUCGCAAGAACACCAGUGGCGAAGGCGGCUCACUGGCCCGGUACUGACGCUGAGGUGCGGAAGCGUGGGGAGCAAACAGG